UACGGAGGAUGCGAGCGUUAUCCGGAUUUACUGGGUGUAAAGGGCGUGUAGGCGGGGACGCAAGUCAGAUGUGAAAACCACGGGCUCAACCUGUGGCCUGCAUUUGAAACUGUGUUUCUUGAGUACUGGAGAGGCAGACGGAAUUCCUAGUGUAGCGGUGAAAUGCGUAGAUAUUAGGAGGAACACCAGUGGCGAAGGCGGCUUACUGGACUGUAACUGACGUUGAGGCUCGAAAGCGUGGGUAUCGAACAGG
rnacentral:rRNA from 1 species